rnacentral:rRNA from 1 species
UGUUUGGGAAUGCAGCUCUAAAUGGGUGGUAAGUUUCAUCUAAAGCUAAAUAAUGGCGAGAGACCGAUAGCGAACAAGUACCGUGAGGGAAAGAUGAAAAGAACUUUGAAAAGAGAGUUAAAAGUACUUGAAAUUGCUAAGAGGGAAGCGCGGAGCACCAGUGCUACGGCGUGUCCAUCGUCGUCGGUGCCACAACGCGCGUGCGGGCAGUUGGAAACUCUGUCCUCGCGCUCGAACGGGUGGCCGGCGAUUCAGGAUGCGUCGUGAGUCAAGAUCGAUUCGAACGGAGGGAGAAGGUAGCGAGAAAGGUAGGAGGGCAACCUCUGUUACAGUCCUGCUACUCUACCUCGGUUUGGAUUGAGGAAGUAAUAGUGCGCCGCUUGCGGCUUGGUCCGGCGUCUCUGAGGUUUGUCUGCGCUCUGAUAGCAAUGCUCUCUCUGUGCAGCCCGACUUCACUGGGCGUCGUGAUUCUCUGUGCUAUCACGAUCUUGUACGAAAUGGUGCUCCUCGACCCGUCUUGAAACACGGACC